CGAUCACACGCGCGCACAACUCCCACCAUUACUACUAUCACAUCAACACUAACACUACCACUACCACCAACUCUUGCUGCUACUACCCCUUUUCGAUAUCCUUGCUACGUAGUAUGAGAGAGAGAGAGAGAGAGAGAGAGAGAGAGAGAGAGAGAGAGAGAGAAAGCAACCAACCAACCAACCCCCAAACGAGACGCGAGAGGGAGUUCGAGUUCCUAGCUCCAGUUCCUCACGGUUGCAGUGCGUUCCCAAACACCCGUGAGACAACCUCGAACUGUCCCCCUACUGUUCCCGAGUUAAGAAGCAACGAUUCGUUCUGAUUGUACAGAAAACACAUAACACUGUUUACGUGGAUAAUUUGCCUGGUUAGAAGCAAAGAGAGAAUACAAAUUGUUCGUAAAAUAUAAAAAAAAAAAAAAAAAGAAAAAAAAAACCCCUAUCGGA